rnacentral:rRNA from 1 species
UCCAGACUCCUACGGGAGGCAGCAGUGAGGAAUAUUGGUCAAUGGGCGCGAGCCUGAACCAGCCAAGUAGCGUGAAGGAUGACUGCCCUACGGGUUGUAAACUUCUUUUAUAAAGGAAUAAAGUGAGGCACGUGUGCCUUUUUGUAUGUACUUUAUGAAUAAGGAUCGGCUAACUCCGUGCCAGCAGCCGCGGUAAUACGGAGGAUCCGAGCGUUAUCCGGAUUUAUUGGGUUUAAAGGGUGUGUAGGCGGGGUUUAAGGUGAGGGGUAAACCCCGGGGUCACACCCCGGGCGAGCCGUUGAAACUGGCUGUCUUGAGAUGUCGAGAGGUAUGCGGAAUGCGCAGUGUAGCGGUGAAAUGCUUAGAUAUUGCGCAGAACUCCGAUUGCGAGGGCAGCAUACCGGCGGCGAUCUGACGCUGAGGCACGAAAGCGUGGGUAUCGAACAGGAUUAGAUACCCGAGUA